UACGGGGGGGGCUAGCGUUGCUCGGAAUUACUGGGCGUAAAGGGCGCGUAGGCGGGCAGUCAAGUCAGGCGUGAAAGCCCCGGGCUCAACCUGGGAACUGCGUUUGAAACUGCUUGCCUUGAGUGUCAGAGAGGGUGGUGGAAUUCCCAGUGUAGAGGUAAAAUUCGUAGAUAUGGGGAAGAACACCAGUGGCGAAGACGGCCACCUGGCUGACUACUGACGCUGAGGCGCGAAAGCGUGGGGAGCAAACAGG
rnacentral:misc_RNA from 1 species